UACAGAGGGGGCAAGCGUUGUUCGGAAUUACUGGGCGUAAAGGGCGCGUAGGCGGCCUUCUAAGUCGAACGUGAAAUCCCCGGGCUCAACCCGGGAACUGCGUCCGAUACUGGAAGGCUUGAAUCCGGGAGAGGGAUGUGGAAUUCCAGGUGUAGCGGUGAAAUGCGUAGAUAUCUGGAGGAACACCGGUGGCGAAGGCGGCUCUCUGGGACGGUACUGACGCUGAGACGCGAAAGCGUGGGGAGCGAACAGG
rnacentral:rRNA from 1 species